rfam:Pristionchus pacificus strain PS312 contig6813, whole genome shotgun sequence.
GCUGUUCUGGCCGAGUGGUCUAAGGCGCUGCGUUCAGGUCGCAGUCCACUUCUGUGGGCGCAGGUUCGAAUCCUGCGGACAGCA